rnacentral:pre_miRNA from 1 species
AGCAUGAUUGCUGGAUCAUAUGGUAAGAGUAUGUUCAGUUUUGAAAGAAAUUGCCCAACUGUCUUCCGAGGCGAAGGUGCCAUUUUGCAUUUCCACCAGCAGC